rnacentral:rRNA from 1 species
GAUGAACGCUGACAGAAUGCUUAACACAUGCAAGUCAACUUGAAUUUGGGUUUUUAACUUAGGUUUGGGUGGCGGACGGGUGAGUAACGCGUAAAGAACUUGCCUCACAGCUAGGGACAACAUUUGGAAACGAAUGCUAAUACCUAAUAUUAUGAUAAUAGGGCAUCCUAUAAUUAUGAAAGCUAUAAGCGCUGUGAGAGAGCUUUGCGUCCCAUUAGCUAGUUGGAGAGGUAACGGCUCACCAAGGCGAUGAUGGGUAGCCGGUCUGAGAGGGUGAUCGGCCACAAGGGGACUGAGACACGGCCCUUACUCCGACGGGAGGCAGCAGUGGGGAAUAUUGGACAAUGGACCGAGAGUCUGAUCCAGCAAUUCUGUGUGCACGAUGAAGUUUUUCGGAAUGUAAAGUGCUUUCAGUUGGGAAGAAACAAAUGACGGUACCAACAGAAGAAGUGACGGCUAAAUACGUG